rnacentral:lncRNA from 1 species
CGAUUGUGGGCUGCUCUCCUGCAUGUCCACCCCCACAGCCAGGCCUUGCAGCCAGAGCCCUUCUGCCCCCUACAGUCAGCCUGGAAGCUUGCCCUCCCAGCCCAGGCCGUUCAUUCCUGCGAAGAAUGCAAAUCAACUGCUCAUUCAUUCCCCGGCCACCUGCCUCCACCAUCCCUCCAGGCUGGAUGACAGCCCUGUGGCACUCGGCUAUGCCUGAUGCACUGCGCACCAUCCCCUGCCACAGGCCGCCCUGACCCCUCGCCAGUCCUCACAGCCAGCCAGAGUUCGCUCUCAGCCCCAGGCUCGCCCCCUCCCCCAUUCCUGCCUGGGAGCCACCUUGGGUGGGGACCCUCUCCCGGCUUCUAAUUUUGCUUUCUCCAGCUUGCUGAUUGCUCGCCCCUUGUUCCCAUGGAUUUCAGGGCAGAUUCUUUUUGGACCGGCAUGCGCUGUGUGGGAACCAGCCAGCUACACGCUGUUCCAGGCAGCUCAGCUCCCUGAGAGCCUGGCGAACAGAACAUUCCAGAUGAGCGGCUCUUUGUUCCCUUGACCUGGCUCUCCCAUGGCUCUCCUGCACACUACGCUCCCCCAGUGAGUCUGAGAUUUUUACGAAGUCAGAGAAGAUGACGGUCCUGUCUUCCCCGUUCUCCUUGAUACUGAGCACUGGGAGACCCUUGACAAUUAGUAUCUCUGCAGAAAGCAGUGGAGGGAGCAGACUUACUCUGGAUGUGGCAAUGGGAUGAUGACGAUCGUGUGGCUGCUGGAGCUAAAUGUUCAGGUUUGCAGGACCAGGCCCCCCGGAGAGCCACAGGGGCUGUUUGAGCCCAUGGGCCUCAUCGAAAGGAUUGAGGUUUUAGGUGUGAAUGAGGAGCAGGGAAGGGGUUCGUCCAGGCAUAGCACCAGGUUGCUUACAGCCAUACUAAGAGACUGACUUUAAGCAUGAGCCUUGGAGAAACCAGCUGCAGGGAAGGAGGCCCAGAUGAAGUGGGCACUGUUUCCCAUAUUUAGCAAAAGAGAAAGUUGAG